CUGGUCUGCAGCUAUGCAACAUGCAUUUGUUUGGCCCUAAAAAAAAUCUGAACAAAAAAAAAGGAGCUUGAACCUAAAUUAGUACUCAGAAACUAAAUCACACAUAAGCAUUAAAAAGACUAAUAUAUAUAAGUAUACUCUGAAUAUGAGCUUACCUGCUCUCCUGUCGCUUCUUUUGUCAAUGUCCCCAAUUUUGAUCUUCGAAUACUCUGAACAAUCACCAAUUCUACGCAUCAUCAGGACGACCAGCCAUAAGAACAGAGAAAAGAUUUUCUUUUGUCCGGCAGCAACACAAUUGCAAUGCAAUCUAUUUUAUCACCGUAGGAAGUGACAACUGAAUCCUCCCCAAAGACGGCAG
rnacentral:lncRNA from 1 species